UGGCUCAGGACGAACGCUGGCGGCGUGCCUAAUACAUGCAAGUCGAACGGUCUUUUCUAUGGAAGCUUGCUUCCACUGAGAAGAUAGUGGCGAACGGGUGAGUAACACGUGGGUAACCUGCCCAUAAGAGGGGGGAUAACAUCCGGAAACGGGUGCUAAUACCGCAUAGUUUUCUUGAUCGCAUGAUCGGGAAAGGAAAGACGGCCUUUGUGCUGUCGCUUAUGGAUGGACCCGCGGCGUAUUAGUUAGUUGGUGAGGUAACGGCUCACCAAGACGAUGAUACGUAGCCGACCUGAGAGGGUGAUCGGCCACAUUGGGACUGAGACACGGCCCAAACUCCUACGGGAGGCAGCAGUAGGGAAUCUUCCGCAAUGGACGAAAGUCUGACGGAGCAACGCCGCGUGAGUGAAAGAAGGUUUUCGGAUCGUAAAACUCUGUUGUCAGAGAAGAACAAGUUGGAGAGUAACUGCUCCAGCCUUGACGGUAUCUGACCAGAAAGCCACGGCUAACUACGUGCCAGCCGCGGC
rnacentral:rRNA from 1 species